AACAAACGCUGGCGGCGUGCCUAAUACAUGCAAGUCGAACGAGGCAGCAAUACCUAGUGGCGCACGGGUGAGUAACGCGUGGAUAAUCUGCCUUUGAGUGGGGGAUAACUAGUCGAACGAUUAGCUAAUACCGCAUAAGACCACAGGAACUGAGGGUCUAGGGGUUAAAGGUUUUUCGCUCAUAGAUGAGUCCGCGUGAGAUUAGCUAGUUGGUGAGGUAACAGCUCACCAAGGCGACGAUCUCUAACUGGUCUGAGAGGAUGAUCAGUCACACUGGAACUGAGACACGGUCCAGACUCCUACGGGAGGCAGCAGUAGGGAAUAUUGCACAAUGGAGGAAACUCUGAUGCAGCGACGCCGCGUGAGUGAUGAAGGCUUUCGGGUCGUAAAGCUCUGUCGCAGGGGAAUAACACAAUGAAUGUACCCUGUAAGAAAGGAUCGGCUAACUUCGUGCCAGCCGCCGCCGUAA
rnacentral:rRNA from 1 species